UGCGACGAGUUGGCCACUGUCCAGGGUGUGCCCUGCCUAAGGCCCGAAGUCACUGGGAUAGGCUCCAGUCACCCGCGACCCCCUAACGGGGACCAAGCGGUAGAAAAUGGAUGGAUGGAUGGAUGUACAUACACAGCUAGUGCUACAGGAUUUGCAUUUAACCCUAAAAUCUGUCUUAUCAUUUGUUUUUAUCAUCGUGUUUUUAUGAGGAGUGUAUUUUUCACGCUGUACAGUUCAUGUUGGUCCUUGUGUUGAACUUGUUUGUACAAUUAACUACUGUAUUCUGAUAUUUACACUUGCAGAUAAAUAAAUCCAUGACAGUUUGGUGAAUGUGCCACAUCUGCAACAGACAACAAAAACAAAACAACCAAAAAUCCCUCAGAAAGUGGGAACCAGGAGACCAGCUCCUCCUGAGUGAAGAGCUUCAGAGCCUCGAUCUACGGCAGAGACCACAACGGGUUAAAACCACAGACCAGGACCAGAGACCUGCAGCCACCCCAGCUGUUUAUUGUAGGUAACGCACGUCCAAACUGAAGUCCGACAACAGAUCCGUGGUCACGAGACGACGCCUGACGAAGAUCAAUAAAUCGUUUCAUUAAAUUAGCUGGCAGCUGAUUAUCAGUACAGUGUGCCCAUCUUUUGUCUGACUUUUGUCUUCAUUCUUGUCCUCUGAAAUAAGAAAGCUCUAAACACAAGGCCAGGAGAUGUGACUGAAAGCUUUGGAAAUACCAAGUAAGUGGACCUUGUGUUUAAGAAUUUAUGUCAUAUUUACGUCAGCCAACCAUUAAUCGCAAUCGCGUGUGCUUACACUCAGAAUUACACAGGGGAAGUAUAGUGCACUAUAAAGUAAACAGGGAGGGAUUUUGUGUUCUCAGACUGAUUCUGGAUCAGAUCCGGGUCUUGCGG